GCACCUGGUGAAUUUUUCAACCAUAUCACCCUGAAGCAUGACUUAAAAAGUAAUUAACUGAUGACAAUGCAUUUGUUAACCAAGUUAAACUCAGCAUCCUGGCAUGAAUUGCCCACAACUCUUCAAGCCCUGACCAUCAAACACUUUAGGAAAAUGCAGUCAAUAGCCUAAGCCAGCAGUUGACAAAAUUUACCAUGAAGUAAGUUAGGUAUUUUGAAACUGACAUUCUUGCUUAUGAAUUCUGGGUUCAACAACCACACACACACACAAAAACAAACGUCAAAACCAAAAUUCAUUUAACCCUCUGCUUGAUGGGCAAACUGUAUUCCUUUUCUCUCUCUUUUUUUUUUAUUUUGCUAUAUGACUUUUGGUUAUAAUGGCAGUUAAGCUCUUAUCAAAACCUCUCAUCAGGUAGUCUUAAAAUGCAUAACAAGUGCACAUAUGAGUCCACUUCCCCUUUCUGCACAAGUCACACCUUGCAAUAUGAUUUCUUUUUGAUCUAUAUAUUUGCUUUAAAAUAAUUUUCAUAGAGUAAAAUGUUAGUAUUUAAGUAAAAAACUUACUCAGUAGCCACUUAAAACUACUAUUCUUUGAU
rnacentral:lncRNA from 1 species